rnacentral:lncRNA from 10 species
CUCAUAGACAUACCCAGAAAUAAGGUCUUGCCAGCUAUCUGGCUGUCCCUUAAUCCAGGCAAGUUGAUACCUAAAAUGAACCAUCACACAGCCCAAAGAGCAGACCAUGAAGAGGUGAGAGCCCCACCCUCACUCUGAGCUUCACCAGCAUGGCAUACACACUGCAUCCCAAGGGUCAUGAGACAUUCUGCUGGACACAGACCCAUAGGAGACUUGUGGAGUUUGGGGAUGAGAGUUGUUCCAGGGCCCUCCUUCAGCCUCAUCCCGACCCAAAAGUGGCCAUUCAACACUCCCCGAGGGACUUCUGUGUGGGCCAGGAGCAUUUUGCCACCUUCAGAAGCAUGAAUCAAGCCUUGCAGGCAAAACACUCGUGGAGACAGGAGGUCCAGGGCUUUUUGACAGCCCCACGAUGUGGUUAGCG